rnacentral:misc_RNA from 1 species
UUCUUUUUCUUUAAAAUAGUGGACAAAUCUGAUGUUUCUAGCUCAAACUCGAUAAAUAGCAUGUCUGCCUUGUUAUCUGAUGGCAAGAACUUACACUCAAAGAAGUUCCAUAAUAACCUAGUUCACUGGAACAUCAUAAAAACAUAACAUGAAACUGUCACUACUUCUCAAAUUACAGAAUAGGUCUUUCCGACAAAGGAAAACUUCAUCUUUUGCAGUGAGUUCAUCCUCGUUUCUUUCUGAGUUCCGGAUCCCUUUGUAUAUGAUCAAGAAUAAGAAGUCUUGGCCCAGGAGGGAUCCUCACAUCUCUAAGAGCACUAUCAGUGAGUAAAGGCAAAGUGGUGUCUGUCAACAACCCUUUUUUGAAAUUCUUUUCAUAAUUUUGCAGGCCAAGGCUUGACAAUAGUGAUCUCGUUCUGACAUAAUGCGUAUCUUCAGCAGGUGGUUGAGAAAACUUCCGCCCGAGCUCAAACAGUCCACCUUGAACAAGGGCAAAGAAAAUCCCAGAUGUCAAAGCAUUGGGUACUGGAUUUGGGCCACCCAUGCCGCUAACUAGUGAAAACAGAGCUCCAGAACCAAAGGCAGCUGCCAUACUGGACUGCACAUCUUCCUUGCCUCUAAUUCUUUUCAAAACACAAGAUAUGCCAGCAUUAACACCAGUCAUAACAGCAAAAUUCCGAGCCUGAACCAACGGACCUCCUGCGAGAGCCUGAGCUUGUUGAAAAGAGGCCAUAGCUUGGGGAUUGAGAUUAGCACCAGCAGGAGGAAUAGGCAUAGAGGAAGACACAUCCUGUGUAAGCGUUCCCAUAAAUCCACCAAUAGCAGCCCCCUGUAGUCCACUAGUUGCUGUCACCACAGCAGCUUCAACUGGAAUUGACUGCUUCGAUAACCACCCUUUGAAGCCGAUUUCCAAUUCCUUAAACUUGUUCUGCAACUGAACUAUUGGAUUCUGAUUGCUGCUAUUUGGCAUUUCAACCACCAUAGCUCCUUGCUUUCCUUCACCCAUUGGAAUUGAGAAAAUUUCAGCCGCAGGUAGCCCUUUUUCUCUCCGUUUGAAAUGAAAGUUUGGUGUAUGCAAAUGGAGAAAAGGGGUUUUUCGGGGAGUUGGG